rnacentral:rRNA from 1 species
UACGUAGGGUGCAAGCGUUGUCCGGAAUUAUUGGGCGUAAAGAGCUCGUAGGCGGUUUGUCGCGUCGACUGUGAAAACCCGAGGCUUAACCUCGGGCCUGCAGUCGAUACGGGCAGACUAGAGUUCGGUAGGGGAGACUGGAAUUCCUGGUGUAGCGGUGAAAUGCGCAGAUAUCAGGAGGAACACCGGUGGCGAAGGCGGGUCUCUGGGCCGAUACUGACGCUGAGGAGCGAAAGCGUGGGGAGCGAAGCAGG